GGAGAGAGGGCUGAGUUGGUCGAAGGCGCACGACUGGAAAUCGUGUAGGCGUGAUGAGCGUCUCGAGGGUUCGAAUCCCUCUCUCUCCGCCA
rnacentral:tRNA from 1 species